UACGUAGGGGGCAAGCGUUGUCCGGAUUUAUUGGGCGUAAAGAGCUCGUAGGCGGUCUGUCGCGUCGAAUGUGAAAACCCGGGGCUCAACUCCGGGCUUGCAUUCGAUACGGGCAGGCUAGAGUUCGGUAGGGGAGUCUGGAAUUCCUGGUGUAGCGGUGAAAUGCGCAGAUAUCAGGAGGAACACCGGUGGCGAAGGCGGGACUCUGGGCCGAUACUGACGCUGAGGAGCGAAAGCGUGGGGAGCGAACAGG
rnacentral:rRNA from 1 species